GUUUAGUAUCAAAUUAUUUAUCAUGAAACCAAGCAUUCAAUGAUAUUAAUCAUAGUGAGUGAGUAUCAGAUCUGACUCUUUUACCAGCCAAAAGAAUAAGUUAGAUCAAAUAAUCAGAGACCCGAUGACCCCCUCCUCUUUCUCCUCAGACACUCCCAGUGUGAGAAGAUAAAACCAGUGAAGUGGGGUUGCUCACUAUCUUCACUCUCUUGUUCACUCUUCUGCUGACGCUCUUGUCCCCGGCUCUUAUGCCCCUUCUCUUCUGCCCACACCCUUCUGUGGUGCGCUUCUUUAUUUUCUCUUAGAACUUUUUCUUAGUCUACUAAGUUUUACGCCACGUGUUGAUUCACGUUGAUUUUUCUUUAACAUGUCUUAGUUCAAGUUUUGAAACUUCAACUUUUUGUGCGCAUAGCAAUCCAAGAUUAAGCCUUUGAUUGAUUUUUCUUUAAUUUCGCGAAGCCAUUUUUGAAAGUUUUCUCUGCUCGAGUCUCGUUUUUCUGAGUUAUCUGCGUGAUUUCAAAAGUCACCUCUGAACGCAACCCAGCAGGCCCAGGUCAUCCUCUGUGCCAGAGUUUUUGAGUGAGACUAAAGAAGUACCCAAAGGAGCAUCCACAGGAUCCACAGGCGCUGGCUUUGCUUCGGGCCCGAGUG